AGGAUGAACGCUGGCGGCGUGCUUAACACAUGCAAGUCGAACGAUGAUGCCCACUUGUGGGUGGAUUAGUGGCGAACGGGUGAGUAACACGUGAGUAACCUGCCCUUGACUCUGGGAUAAGCCUGGGAAACCGGGUCUAAUACUGGAUACGACCUUCCCGCGCAUGCGGUGUUGGUGGAAAGCUUUAUUGUGGUUUGGAUGGACUCG
rnacentral:rRNA from 1 species